AACGAACGCUGGCGGCAUGCCUAACACAUGCAAGUCGAACGAGACCUUCGGGUCUAGUGGCGCACGGGUGCGUAACGCGUGGGAACCUGCCCUUAGGUUCGGAAUAACUCCCCGAAAGGGGUGCUAAUACCGGAUAAUGUCUUCGGACCAAAGAUUUAUCGCCUUUGGAGGGGCCCGCGUUGGAUUAGCUAGUUGGUAGGGUAAAAGCCUACCAAGGCGACGAUCCAUAGCUGGUCUGAGAGGAUGAUCAGCCACACUGGGACUGAGACACGGCCCAGACUCCUACGGGAAGCAGCAGUGGGGAAUAUUGGACAAUGGGCGAAAGCCUGAUCCAGCAAUGCCGCGUGAGUGAUGAAGGCCUUAGGGUUGUAAAGCUCUUUUACCCGGGAUGAUAAUGACAGUACCGUGAGAAUAAGCUCCGGCUAACUCCGUG
rnacentral:rRNA from 1 species